UUAAACUAAAUAUUAGUGCAGUACAGGUCGCCCACAGCGUCAGUUCCGUAAUCCCGUUGGCCGUUUUAAAGCUGACCUCCGUACAUAUUGCGGCAAUUUUUUUUCUUAGUGGCUUGAUCAUUGCCACCACCAUUUUGGGGAUACAGUACGUUUUUCGAUACAGAAAAUACCAGGUAGCACAGCUGGAGGAUCAGGACUCACUUUCAGCCUCAAGUACGAAUCUUCAAAUGUCGGCCAGAACUCAGUCGAAUGCGACACUUUUGUCGGAAGUUAUUUCGUUGACAAGAAUGCGCCCUCUCAAUAUGAAAAGUCGACAGAACAAGCAUACAAGACUUCGAGAGUCGGUGGAUUGCGACAGAGACAUUGACGAGGAAGUUGCUUUAGCGAAAGAUGACCGUUCACCAACAGGUAGCUCUAAAACUUUGAUAGCUGAAAACGAAGUCCCUGCCUCCACGGCACUUCCAACUCUGGCUAAUCCUGAAUGUGAUGACCUGACUCCGACAAGCAGCGUCCCAAC
rnacentral:lncRNA from 1 species